AACGAACGCUGGCGGCAUGCCUAACACAUGCAAGUCGAACGAGACCUUCGGGUCUAGUGGCGCACGGGUGCGUAACGCGUGGGAACCUGCCCUUAGGUUCGGAAUAACUCCCCGAAAGGGGUGCUAAUACCGGAAAAUGUCUUCGGACCAAAGAUUGAUCGCCUUUGGAUGGGCCCGCGUUGGAUUAGCUAGUUGGUAGGGUAAAAGCCUACCAAGGCGACGAUCCAUAGCUGGUCUGAGAGGAUGAUCAGCCACACUGGGACUGAGACACGGCCCAGACUCCUACGGGAGGCAGCAGUGGGGAAUAUUGGACAAUGGGCGAAAGACUGAUCCAUCAAUGCCGCGUGAGUGAUGAAGGCCUUAGGGUUGUAAAGCUCUUUUACCCGGGAUGAUAAUGACAGUACCGGGAGAAUAAGCUCCGGCUAACUCCGUG
rnacentral:rRNA from 1 species